rnacentral:misc_RNA from 1 species
GUGAUUAUAGGGCGUCUACUUGUAGAGCCUGACCUCCACUUCUAACACUGUGCACUUGAUGGCGAGGUAAUGGAACUUUCGAGUGAAACUACCUUGCGGCUUCAUUUUAAACAUUAGUCAAAGUAUGUAAUGAAAUAAAAAACAAAAAAAAACUUUCAACAACGGAUCUCUUGGCUCUCGCAUCGAUGAAGAACGCAGCGAAAUGUGAUAAGUAAUGUGAAUUGCAGAAUUCAGUGAAUCAUCGAAUCUUUGAACGCACCUUGCGCUCCCUGGUAUUCCGGGGAGCAUGCCUGUUUGAGUGUCAUGAACUCUUCAACCCACCAGUUUCUAGUAGACUGCGUUGGUGUUUGGAUUUUGAGCGUUGCUAGUCUGACUAGCUCGUUCGUAAUAUAUUAGCAUCUCUAAUUCGAAUUCGGAUUGACUCAGUGUAAUAGACUAUUCGCUGAGGACACUUUUAUUAGUGGCCGUACUAGAACCAGUAGAAGCUUCCAACUAUUGUAGUCAACUUUAAUUUAGACCUCAG